rnacentral:rRNA from 1 species
AAGAUGGCGACCGGCGCACGGGUGAGUAACACGUAUCCAACCUACCGAUAACUCCGGAAUAGCCUUUCGAAAGAAAGAUUAAUACCGGAUGGCAUACGAAUAUCGCAUGAUAUUUUUAUUAAAGAAUUUCGGUUAUCGAUGGGGAUGCGUUCCAUUAGUUUGUUGGCGGGGUAACGGCCCACCAAGACUACGAUGGAUAGGGGUUCUGAGAGGAAGGUCCCCCACAUUGGAACUGAGACACGGACCAGACUCCUACGGGAGGCAGCAUG